CAUACUAAUAGAUCAUAUUAGUAAAAUAAUUUAUAAGUAAAUAAAUGGACAGUGUAUACAUUAGAAUUAACCUAUUAACAUAAGCUUCUAGAUGAAAUGGCUAAGAUAAUUUACAAAGUAAAUAAAUGGACCACGACAUUGUAUUUCUUCAACUAAACCCAUAUGCAAUUCUAAAAAAAAAAUUUCCGGACCAUUCAUCUUCCCCUAGACUGUGUAUUUCGUUUUUUUUUGUCAGUGAGGCAGAAACAUUAUUUCCUCUUCUCAAUUCAUGAACCUAAGAAAGAUUGUAAGAUAUAUCUACAUGAUUUCCAUCUUCGUAUCAAAGGGCGCAAGUGGAUCCGCUUCAUUUUCUCAAGAUAAGUCACAUCGUCAGUGAUUGCUAAGUUCAAACUCGCUUUAAAGAAGCUUCGGCGUAGAUCAAUGUCCAUUCUAUAUUAGAGAAGUUGGGUUGACUUAAUUGCAGAAGCAUUGUUUAUAUGCUAGAACAACCAAGUAUUGUGAUAAGAAGAGUCACGGAAUCGACAUUGCAAUAUUAGUACUAUCGACAAACUACUCUUACUGGAGAAACAAAGGGACAAUAGCCAGUUACACAAAAGCAAAAGGGAGAAGGACAGAAAGAUGAGGAUCAGUUGUAAAAAAACAUAGUGGAGGGACAAAAAACAUAUGGUAAGAAAUUGUCAAAUAUUUCUGCCCUUUCAUAAUAUUGUAUCAUGUAUGUCAUAUGUUUUAUAAAACGUUCUAUCUUUAUUUUUAAAUGAAUUACGUUGAUUUUUUUAAACAAUCAUCAUAUGAUGAUAUUUGACCUUUUUAAUGUUUCACAUGAUAUUGGACGUUCUGAGAUCCAAGUGUCAGCAAACCAGCUGCAAAUGAAGACAGCGACCUUGCCGAACAAUAGAAACAAAACACUGUUUAGUAAUUACUUGUUUAUCUUACCUAAUACAUAAGGUGAUAUCAAUGUAGAACGAUUUAGAAUAAGUUAGAAGAUUGAAAUAACCUUUCCUUAACUAUAUAUGUUUGGUUUCAUCUUGACUAAGUGAUGCAUUUGUAGGUA